rnacentral:rRNA from 1 species
AGAGUUUGAUCCUGGCUCAGGAUGAACGCUGGCGGCGUGCUAACACAUGCAAGUCGAGCGAUCUUCUUCGGAAGAGAGCGGCGGACGGGUGAGUAACGCGUGGGUAACCUGCCUCAUACACAUGGAUAACAUACCGAAAGGUAUGCUAAUACAAGAUGAUAUAAGAGAUUCGCAUGGAUUUCUUAUCAAAGCUCCGGCGGUAUGAGAUGGACCCGCGUCUGAUUAGCUAGUUGGUAAGGUAACGGCUUACCAAGGCGACGAUCAGUAGCCGACCUGAGAGGGUGAUCGGCCACAUUGGAACUGAGACACGGUCCAAACUCCUACGGGAGGCAGCAGUGGGGAAUAUUGCACAAUGGGCGAAAGCCUGAUGCAGCAACGCCGCGUGAGCGAUGAAGGCCUUCGGGUCGUAAAGCUCUGUCCUCAAGGAAGAUAAUGACGGUACUUGAGGAGGAAGCCCCGGCUAACUACGUGCCAGCAGCCGCGGUAAUACGUAGGGGGCUAGCGUUAUCCGGAUUUACUGGGCGCAAAGGGUGCGUAGGUGGUUUCUUAAGUCAGGAGUGAAAGGCUACGGCUCAACCGUAGUAAGCUCUUGAAACUGGGAAACUUGAGUGCAGGAGAGGAAAGUGGAAUUCCUAGUGUAGCGGUGAAAUGCGUAGAUAUUAGGAGGAACACCAGUAGCGAAGGCGGCUUUCUGGACUGUAACUGACACUGAGGCACGAAAGCGUGGGGAGCAAACAGGAUUAGAUACCCUGGUAGUCCACGCCGUAAACGAUGAGUACUAGGUGUCGGGGGUUACCCCCCUCGGUGCCGCAGCUAACGCAUUAAGUACUCCGCCUGGGGAGUACGCUCGCAAGAGUGAAACUCAAAGGAAUUGACGG